UUGACGGGGACCCGCACAAGCGGUGGAUGAUGUGAUUAAUUCGAUGCAACGCGAAGAACCUUACCUACCCUUGACAUGUCCGGAACUUGCCAGAGAUGGCUUGGUGCCCGAAAGGGAAUCGGAACACAGGUGCUGCAUGGCUGUCGUCAGCUCGUGUCGUGAGAUGUUGGGUUAAGUCCCGCAACGAGCGCAACCCUUAUCAUUAGUUGCUACGCAAGGGCACUCUAAUGAGACUGCCGGUGACAAACCGGAGGAAGGUGGGGAUGACGUCAAGUCCUCGUGGCCCUUAUGGGUAGGGCUUCACACGUCAUACAAUGGUCGGUACAGAGGGUUGCCAAGCCGCGAGGCGGAGCCAAUCCCACAAAGCCGAUCGUAGUCCGGAUUGUUCUCUGCAACUCGAGAGCAUGAAGUCGGAAUCGCUAGUAAUCGCAGGUCAGCAUACUGCGGUGAAUACGUUCCCGGGUCUU
rnacentral:rRNA from 1 species